CCUGUUAAGUCAGGUAACGAGCGAGACCCUUGCCUCUAGUUGCCACCAUUGCUCUCUGGAGCAGUGGGGCGAAUUAGCGGGACCGCCGCAGUUAAUGUGGAGGAAGGAAAGGGCUACGGCAGGUCAGUAUGCCCCGAAACUCUGGGGCCACACGCGGGCUGCAAUGGUAGCGACAAUGUGUUCCAAACCCUAAAGGGGGAGGUAAUCAUCAAACGCUACCACAGUUAUGACUGAGGGCUGCAACUCGCCUUCACGAAUAUGGAAUCCCUAGUAACUGCGUGUCAUUACCGCGCGGUGAAUACGUCCCUGCUCCUUGCACACACCGCCC
rnacentral:rRNA from 1 species